CAGUCGCCGCGGUAAUACGUAGGGUGCGAGCGUUAAUCGGAAUUACUGGGCGUAAAGCGUGCGCAGGCGGUUGUGUAAGACAGGUGUGAAAUCCCCGGGCUUAACCUGGGAACUGCGCUUGUGACUGCACAGCUAGAGUAUGGCAGAGGGGGGUGGAAUUCCACGUGUAGCAGUGAAAUGCGUAGAGAUGUGGAGGAACACCGAUGGCGAAGGCAGCCCCCUGGGCCAAUACUGACGUUCAUGCACGAAAGCGUGGGGAGCAAACAGGAUUAGAUACCCCCGUAGUCCCUGUCUCUUAUAA
rnacentral:rRNA from 1 species